UAGUUCUGGUUGGUCGGGUGAUUGAGCAGGGUCCUAGCACUCGAUGUUAGGAGCAGAACCGGAGGUAAAUGGAGCUCUUACGAGAGCAAGCCUACUACUAGAGUAGGUCGUCGGCGAUGCAGGUGGCACGUCCCUGAGGUCCAGAGCAGAUGUCGCUCGUGACUCGCGUCAGCAAGUCCCUCUUGUAACCAAUGCAAUCUUCUCCACCCCAACCCUCUUCACCCCAAUCCCCCUCCCCUGUUUGUAACAAGAGGAUUGUCACCUGGGUUGACAAGGGAGCGAAUCUCCCGUUACACUGUUGCGCCCUCCCCUUCCCUUCCCUUCCCUCCCCUCCCCUCCGCUCUCCUGACCUCCCCUCUCCUGCCCUCCCUCCCUCCUCCCCUCUCCUGCCCUCCCUCCCUCCUCCCCUCUCCUGCCCUCCCUCCCUCCUCCCCGGCCCGCAGGUGGCGGGCGUGUGCGCUCUGGCCUCGCCCGAUGACUGCCUGGAGGCGGAGGCGCUGUGCAAGGCCGACCCGCAGGUGCAGCAGCUGCUCAAGGACAGGUGAGAGGCACGGGGUGGGGAGGAGGGGGAAGGGGAAGGCGGAGGGGGAAAGGGGGGGGGUAUGUGCCCCAGCCCAACGAAGUAGAUGCCGGUAGUCAAGAAGUCGUGGAGGAUGGGGGAGGCGGAGAGGAGAGGCUGGGGGCUUAGGAGGGAGAGGCGGUGUGUGGGAGGGGGUCAUGGGCGCCAGGGGCAGGCGCUCCUGUCCCCCAUCCCCGGUCGGGGACUUGUUUCGCCGCUGGUGCUGUGCUGAUGCGACCCACGGCGGGCUCGGUGAUUCGCAACUUGGCCCUCGACUGUAAGACGUUUGGUAAUGUUCCUCUGUUGACCCUGCCCCCAACACACACCCACAACAACACGGACUGCAUGCAGGUACGGCAUCACGGACAUGGACAGCCUGUGCUGCGACCCCUGGUCCAUCCACGCCUCCCCCGUGGACGAGCGGGCAAUCCAGUGCUUCCUGUAUGUCAAAACAUGGUGAGGAGACAUGCCAGUUGGUGCUGGGUGGGGUGGUUGGGCUGAUCCGUGGAGGUCCGGUAUACGGUACGCUGGGGGCGGUUGGAUGGGCUCUGGAGUGCGAGUACGGUACCUCGCACCCUCACCCCUCGAUCCCCUCAAACCUUCCCCCCCAAACCCAACUCCCCAACUCCCAUGCCCACCUCCCACGAACGCGCCUCCCCCAAACCCUACCGCUCCCCACCUUCUGCCUGCAGCCCCGAGGACAAUGCGUACGCCCACCCGCUGGACAUGACACCCGUGGUGGGGCUGGACAGCGGCCGUGUGCUGCGCAUUGACCUGCCGUACAAGUGCGGGCCAGGUGGCGGUCCCAUUGAGUGGAACAAGGAGAACAGCAACUACCACACGUGAGUGUGCGGAGCUGCGGAGGGAAGGGAGGGCUGGGGCCUGGGGCGUGGCUAGGGAGAGAGGCGCAGCAGCGCAUGGGCCAUGAGGGUGAAGUAACAUGCACGGACCCCGGUGCACAUCCGUGCCUGUCCCCCGAGUCCUCCCCCCCACACUGUACACGCAUCAAAGACAGCCCUCUGGCCCUGCUCGCCGCUCCCUCCACAAGCAGAGCGUUGCAGUCGUGUGUCCGCACCGACAUGAAGCCGCUUAACAUCACGCAGCCGCAGGUGAGCGUGGCCAUGCGUAUCAUCGAGGAUCGGGGGUGCCAAAAAGUAUCGAGACCAGGUUUCGAUCCUGGGACCUCGGGGUUAUGAGCCCCGCACGCUUCCGCUGCGCCAUCUCGAUCUCAACGGGAAUUGAACACCGGAUGACUCAAGUGUGCGAAGAACUGCUAUAGACACCGCCGACACCACGCCUACUACUGCUCCCUCACCGGGGACAGGCUCAGAACCCGCCGACCCGCGCCGCGCACCACAGGGCCCCAGCUUCAGCGUACAGGGCAACCACAUCUCCUGGCACAACUGGAGCUUCAUCCUGGGCUUCAACUACAGGUACCAGCUGGGAGGGCCAUGGGUUGGAGACAGGCUGAAAGGGGUAUGUUGAGGACAGAGGGUGCUGCCUGACAGGGUGCUUAGAUUGAGUCACCCCGCAGCGUUGCACGGUGGUGGGGGUCGGUUGGUCGGUCCGGAGGGGGGGUUGGGAGGUUUUGGGACAUGGGGUCUGGAGGUUUAGUUCGUACCCCCCCCCUGCUGCCCGCACCCAUACCCAGGGGUUGUUCUCAACCCCUGCCCACUUCCACACCCAUACCAUUGCGCGCCGGGUUGGGUGGUGUGACCCAAGGUGUGACCCUCGUUUGGGCCGCACACCCCCAGCAGAUGCAGGGCAGCACACGGUCAAAAGCGCCAUCGCAGGGCAUCUAACCCCGGCCUCAUGCGGGUCGUGAGGUUGACAGGCAGGGAUUACUGUACGACGAUGACCCCAUCACCCUCGGCUACUCGCAAAGCAGUCAGCCAAAAGGACAGAACGUCAUGUGCGCCAACAAAAAACGUUUCGCUACCGGGACUCGAACCCGGGUCUCAGGAGUGUUUCACGCACCCGGAUGGGCUCGAUGAGAAUCCUGUAUCCUGACCGCCUAGACUAUAGCGAACGAUCGGUGGUGGCAGUUCAGCAUUUGUACCAGUAUACAGUAAAGCUAAGAGCGGAUCUGGGCUAUGAGGAAGUCAAGCGGCAAAGUGGAGCACGUGCAAGGGAAGAACGCGAUGGGACGAGGCAAGGGGCAGGUUGGCGUAGCCCCGGAGAAAGGACGCAGAGAGAGGCGCCCUUGAAGAAGGACAUGCACAGGGAUAAACAGGAAGGGGAAUGGGGCCAAAGCGUGUGCACGGAAGUGCUGGCACAUUUCAGGAAUACAAAGGCCGACAGAUGGAUGGCUGGGCGGAGGGGGGGGGGCGGUCGGGCGGAGGCACUGCAAUAGCCAAUGAUGGCACCCAUUCGUGUCCUUGCAACGUUAGCUCGUAUUCGCACCUCCUCUGUUCCUAUGCGCGGCUCGUGCCCCAACAGGGAGGGCAUUGUGCUACACGACGUGCGGUACAAGUAUGGUGGCGUGACUCGGCCAGUGAUGCACCGGGUGUCCCUGGUGGAAAUGGCGGUGCCGUACGCAGACCCCAGGUAUGUGCUGUAUGUCAGGGAGCUUCUCAAGGUAUAGGAAUGCAUUGUGUUUGUGUGCAGGCAGCAGGUAGGCGUGUAGAUACAUUGGUUGUAUAGAAAGCCCAUAGGUGUGUGCAAGGGUGGGCUGCAUGGUGCGCGUUUGUACGCCAUGUUGUGCUCUCAUCUGCUGUUGAUGAGCUGCAUGGGAAAGCUUCGAUAGCUGGAAUGUGCGUUGCACGGGAAUAAGGCUAGGUACCAAGGGCACGUGUGUUCAGGGGGCAAGGCGGGACCAUCGGUUGGCCAUAUUUGCUUGCACGGGCUAUGCCGCACCCAGCCUGGGGUGAGUACCCACUACCCUACUCCUUUCAGCGCCACCUCCUUACCUCCGGUCAAGCAUUGCACGCGCCGACGUCAGUAACCCGCCGGUGCACAUCAUGACCUACCGUGCAGGGAGCCGUACGUGCGCAAAUGCGCCUUUGAUGUGGGCGAUUAUGGACUGGUGAGUGCUGGGGUGGAGGGUGCGCUAGAACAGGGUAAGGGGCAGGCUCAUGGAUGUUUCUCUCACUCCCAUGCAUUUCCAUGCCCUGCUAUGUAUGGUGUGCCGCUUCUCAGCUUCUCGUGCCACCAUCCCCACUUGCUCGCCUCACCAGGGCUACUGCACCUUUCCGCUUACGCUGGGCUGCGACUGCCUGGGCCACAUCCACUACUUUGAUGCCACCCUGGCCAACAGCAAGUGAGUUACAUGCAAUGGACCACCCCUGUGAUGCGCUGCCGCCCCACCACUUGUUACAAUCAAAGUCGCGCGUGUACCGGAGGCUACAAACCGGAGGCAGUCCCGAUAUGCACUGCAGAAUACCGUAGUACCGUACUGUGUAUGACGGCGGGCGCAGCACUUGACCAUGAAGCCUGCAUGCUAGUCCUGCAUCCGAGCACAGAUCCUGCCCGCACCCAUACCCAGGGGUUCUUCUCAACCCCCAUACCCGUACCAUUGCGCGCCGGGUUGGGUGGUGUGACCCAGGGUGUGACCCUCAUUUGGGCCGCACACCCCCAGAUGCAGGGCAGCGCACGGGCAAACCCCUACCGCUACGCAGUACCCCGGCUUGCCCCCUCCCCUCUGUCCCAAGUAUGACGGGAACUUAGGCCCUGAGCCGAGCUAUCGGCUAUGGGCUCAUUCCAAACGUUUAUUUCAGCGCGCAGUUGUGCGAACGGGGUGGGAUGGGGGUGCGGGGGGAGGGAUGCCCGGACUGUGCGGGGAGGCGCCGGUGAACACAAGCGCGUUGGCGAGCCAAGGCGAGAGAGCGCGGGCGGGGCCAGGGGCGGGGGGGGGGGGCACGGAGGCGGGGGGGGUGGGGGGCCCCGAGAUCGUGUUGCACAUGAUUUCGCGAGAUCGUCAGUAGUAUGCACCGUCAAUGCUACAAAACUCAGCGCUGCUGAUGCAUCGAGAUGAAGCAAAAGGCGUUGCUGCUUCGGCGACGGCGCAUGCGCUUCGCACUCACAAUGUCUUGUAACAUGUUUAUGCCUUGACGUAUCAUCAAGUCCGCGGCUGACAAGAAUUGCAACCCGAUGGCGCUAUCGAGCGCUGGGAUCCUCCAACGCCUCCAAUCCCUUCGCCUCUACUCUUACGUCUUCCUCGCGUUUCCACAAAGUUAUGCAUCGCUACUGACAUUUUGAGAAGUGCUUUAAAUAAUUCGUAUCUUGGUCUGGGUGCCUCACUGAAUAAAGUAACGUUACUGGAAAAAA
rnacentral:lncRNA from 1 species